rnacentral:lncRNA from 1 species
CUUCUGCACUCUAACAUAAUUUUCAGCCUUUGGUGGAUAAGACUUUCAAGUAAAUGUUUUCAAUUGUUCUCUCCAUAUAUAAGGCCUCAGAUUCAAAGUGCCCUCCUGACUGGACACCUCAAUGAUGAGAGAGUUUUCAUUAGCAGAAAGCAUGGCAUUGUUUUCUCCAUAUACAAGGCUACAGAUUUCAAACUUAAAUAAAAACAAGAGGUUUUCAUGUGCACUGACUGUCCUGAAAAUAGCCAAAAGAGAUGAAAGUGGCAUUAAACACCAAUCAGUUAAUCAAUCUCUCAAUUUUUUUUAGUAUUCAUAGAGUUAUAUUAUUAUUUUUCAUUGAAUACCAAUUUUCAUGGGAACACAAAUUUUGUGCUGAUGGUGUUACCACAGGUUUGUCUAUGUAUCUUCUGUGAUAGGGAAUCACUUUUCCACUGCUUCUAGCUAGCCUAUUUGUAUGUGAAUCCUAGUUCUAGUUUUUCUUGCCAGUACAUAGUCUCUCCACUAUGAAGACUUCUACAGCGCCUCAUUGUGACAGCAUAUGGUUACUAAGAUCUAGUAUCCUAGGCAUAACUGUAGACCCAGAUCAUCUGAUUAGAAGGGACCCUAGGUGUAGUGUGAGGCACCUUGUCUGUGGACAUGACCUAGCACUCAUUAACCUUGCUCCAGUUAUAGGUUAGUCACUAAUUAGAUGAAAAUCAUCAGCCUUGGGAGGUAAUGCAUCUAGGAGAAGACAACUCUUUAUAAAAUCUGAUAGAUUUGAUCAAGUCGGCCAUUUAUAAGUAAAAUAAGUCCAUUUAUAAGUAAAAUACGGAAAAAAUGGAAUUUUAUUUUUACAAAAUUUACUUCUGGAUACUUUCUUAUGAUCAUAAACAAGCUUCUGUCCAAGUUUGGUAGAAAUCCAGUAAAGUUUAAGAAAGUUAUUAAAAUUUCAAAAACUUUAACCACAGAGUGAAUAUUUGUGGACGCCGCCGACGACGCCGGAAUGUAGGAUUGCUUAGUCUCGCUUUUUCGACUAAAGUCGAAGGCUCGACAAAAACAUAGAAAAAUUAAAAGUUCAUGUACAUUGAAUAUUAAUUGAUACCUUUGCUUUCAUAUUAAGGGGCACAAUUCCAAAAAAGUAAAAGUGUUGCCAACAAAAUUUAAACUUGAUCGGGGUUAUGUAAUAUUCAGUAUUGUGUACUUGUUUUAUAACAUAAUGUCAAGUCACGCUAAAGUUAUGAGAAUGGAGAUCAAAUUUGAAUUGAACGUACAGCAGGGCAUGAAUAAUAUUCAAAAUAAUCCCACUUUUUACACCACCCUUUAUGAUUAUUAUGUCGAACUCUAUUCACAAUUUUUGUUUUCAUAUUAUUUUUUGUUAUUUUAUUUUUUCAUAUUUUUUUUAAAAAAAAAAUUUUUUUUAUUGCAAUUUUGUUUUCAUAUUAUUUUUUGGUAUUUUAUUUUUUCACAUUUUUUUUAUUUAUUUUUUUCACAAUUUUUUUUUUCAUAUUAUUUUGAGUAUUUUUUAUUAAUUCUUUUACAAUUUUUGGGGGUAUUUGAUUUUUAUAUAUUUUUUUUAUUCCUUUUUUUUUACAAUUUUGUUUUAUUAUUUUUUGUUAUUUUUUUUCACUUUUUUUUAACAGAGCUUUAAGUGAAAAAAAAAUAAUAUCAUGAUGUUAUGUUUAACAUGAACCCAAUUUUCUAUGAGGCCAGGCAGUGGGGGAUGUACAAUUACUCUGCCAAGUCUUAUUAGAACAGGAACCUUAAAUCAGUAGCCUCCUACAAAUAUAUUUAAAAAUCAGGACAUUAAAGAAGUACUGCCAUAUCUAGUUUACAAGUAGAAAUCAGCACCAUAAAAUUUUAGGUUCUGAACUUUGUUUUAGUCUAGUGCAUAUAGACGCUUAUAGAAGCUGAAUUUUGUUAAUCCUUGAGAACCAGAUAAUCACUUUGGGGUUAAAGAAACCUAGGCAGAAUUUUUCUGAUUGUGUUGGCGGUCAAACAGAAAAACCCUCUCUGCGGUACCCAAUUCCCCGAAGGGAUUAUCCAAUUCUCUAGGAUUGACAAAAUUCAGCUUCUAUAAACAUUCAUAUGCAAUCAACCGAAACAAUGCCCACAAACCUAAAAUUCAUGUCUCUGAUAUUCUGCUCGUAAAACACAAAUAUGCCAAUACUUCUUGAAUGUUCUGAUUUUCCAAUACAUUAACUACAGAUCAAAGCUUCAAAUUUAAGGUUCACACUCUGAUCAGACUUGGGUGAGUACUUGUACAUCCUGCAUAGCCUGCCCUGGUCAGGGUUUUACUGCCGGUCUGAAGACCAGGUGACCAUAUUUCUAUUCCCCAGUCACCCUUGGGGUAAAAAUUCAGUGGCGGAUCCAGAACUUUUCAUAAUGAUUUUAGGGGGGCCCGCUCCAGUCAUGCUUCAGUGAUUCUCUAUGUAAUCAACCAAAAUUUUCCCACGAAAGGGGGGGGGGGCCGGUUCCCAUCCCCUGCAUCCGCCUAUGAAAUUGAUAAUUUAAAGUAACUGUAGGCUGGUCUUUUGUUUAAAUAAAUGAGUCACCCUUUUUUACAAGCCAAAGAAGCUUUUAAAUUCAUGGCCACUGAAUACAUGCAGUUCAAUGUCAUGGUCGCCUACCGUAUUUGUGUGGACUCAAUAAGACUGGAUGGCCAGUAUAAUUCUUUCACGAAUAUUCAAGACAAAACCAA